rnacentral:pre_miRNA from 1 species
GGCUCUGGUCACUGUGGAAGACUAGUGAUUUUGUUGUUUUAAAUACAACUCCUUGACAACAAAUCACAGUCUACCUCAGUGAUGAGGGUG